CGAUUUCAUAGUUUAAUAUAAAAUUUUAGCCUUGGGUGCUAGAGAUCUUUUGGGAGUGAUCGA
rnacentral:tRNA from 1 species